rnacentral:misc_RNA from 1 species
GUUCGGGUCCGCCUUGAUGGCAACCGGCUUAAAGGAAACAUCAAUAAUAUUUUUGGGAUACACCCACAUUUAAGUUAUAUUGAUCUCAGUUACAACCAAUUUUAUGGUAAAUUGUCACCAAAAUGGAGAUAUUAUUCCAAUUUAACAAGUCUGCGAAUCAGAGGGAACCUACUCAGUGGUGAAAUACCAUCUCAAAUUGGUAUGUUGGCGCAAUUAGCAUUUCUCGAUCUUUCUUCAAAUCAUCUUCAAGGUGUGAUACCAAUGACAUUCGGUGACUU